rnacentral:misc_RNA from 1 species
GAAGUCGUUACUCCAACCCUUGUGGAGGAGGACGUCGAAGGUGGGGCUGAUGACUGGGGUGAAGUCGUAACAAGGUAGCCGUACCGGAAGGUGCGGCUGGAUCACCUCCUAACAGGGAGACAACAAAAUGUAAAUAUUAAUUUUGUCACCUUAGGCCGAUCGGUAUCUCAGAUUCUUAUUAUUUAAGAAUUUCAGUUUCUAAGUUUUUUCUAGGUCACACCCAUCACUUUUUCCUGGGCCAUUAGCUCAGGUGGUUAGAGCGCACCCCUGAUAAGGGUGAGGUCCCUGGUUCAAGUCCAGGAUGGCCCAUAUCUCUAUGUUGGGGGUAUAGCUCAGUUGGUAGAGCGCCUGCUUUGCAAGCAGGAUGUCAGCGGUUCGAGUCCGCUUACCUCCACUGAAUACCACCUCUUACAUAUAGUUGAAGUGGGAAAUUGUUUUGAGUCGUGUCCUAAUUUGCUCUGAGCGAAUCUAGCUUCCUAUUUUAUCCAAGAAAUAAGAUGCUGGACUCAUUGAAUUUUUUUUCAUUGUUUUCAGAGAACCUUGACAACUGCAUAGAUUAUUUUUAAAGACAAUAAGCAUCUUUAAUGAUGCAGAUUUAUUAUUUGUGCGAAUGCAUUAAAUAACAAUUCUAUUAAGCUGAUGCUUCAAUUAUUGAAGUUAUUGGUCAAGCUACAAAGGGCUCACGGAGGAUACCUAGGCACACAGAGGCGAUGAA